UGCACUCACUACUUUAAGUCGCUUUGGAUAAGAGCGUCUGCUAGAUGACUAAAA
rfam:Salmo salar isolate Sally breed double haploid chromosome ssa20, whole genome shotgun sequence.